rnacentral:lncRNA from 1 species
CUAAAUAAAAAUGUCUAAUGGAGUAGAAGAAUUAUUGAACAAACAAAAAAAUGAACAGAAAAUUAAUACAAUGACCCCUAAACAAAUAAAAAAUAACAAAUAACCAAAUAGAACAAACUAAAGAAAGGAAAAAUACCUUAAAGAAAUCAGAAAUCAGACGGACUUGACCAAUCUCAAACUUGAACUUUUUGAUGUCAAACGGACCUUAAUCAAGUGUUCUCGAUUGAGAACACUAGACUAAGGUCAUUUAAAACCCCAGAUUCCUCUUAAUUUCGGACGAAAUCCCAAUUUUGGUUUUCUAGGGUUCUAUGGUUCAAAUUGGGAUUUGAACGAUUCUAAAAUGAUUUUAACCGAGCUAAUGGUGUUUGGGGUAUGAGGGAGGUCAGUGGGUGGAGUGGUGUGAGUCUGGAGUGGAUUGGGUUCGGCGCCGCCACUAGGGGAUCUUGUGGCGGCGCUAGGGUUCUUGGUUGUAAUUCAAUAUUGGAGAGAACCCAGGUUGAUUCGAAGGAAAUUAAGGGUGGUUAUAAGAUGAGAGAGGUCAGGGGGUCAAGGGGUGUUGAUUUGGUGGCCAUCGGAGAAGGUUAGGUUUUGGCCGAUUUUCGAUUAAAAAUUCGAGGAGCUUCGUUAGGUUUUGAGGAAGGCUGUUUGGAUGGUUGAAAUGAGGAGGUUAAGGUGAGUUUAGACUGUGAAAAUGGAGGAGUUUGGCCUACCAGAACCAUCGUGAGGCGAUUUCCGAUGGCAGAGCAUGGUGGUUGACGGCGGAGGGUGGUGAGCUUGUGUUUAGGUCAGAGACGAAUGCGGGGGUAUG